GGUGUGAGCCAGAAGCUCUAUUCUGUCACUUUAUUUCUAAACAAAAGCCUGUACCUUACUCUCCUACCUCGAGUGUUUGUAAAGCUCAUUCUUUGGCUUCGUGGACAAGAACCCCAGCAUCACCAAGUUGCUCCUGGCUUUUUGAGAUUUAAUUGAUUAAUAUUGGGUCUUUUUAGUGGACUUUCUGGCCUUUUUCUCUUUCCACCCUGCUUAUCUAUUUUCCUGCCUAAUAGACAGAAAUGAGCGGGACGAAAAAGAGAGACGGUCCCCCAAAGAUGACUCAGGGAGUUGAUCAGGUAGAGCCAGAAAGCCAGAACUGACUCCGAGAGUUAAUCAGAUGAAGCCACAGGGUCCACGAGUGACUCAGGAAAUGUCCAGGGUCCCCCCAGACAAGCAACAUCAGAAGCACAGGCACAGCAGAGCCCAUGUCCCCAUUUCACCAGUCUAGAGAACUGACAGCUGUCAACCAAGGACCUCUCUGCCCUGCCAACACCACAGAAAAGCAGCCUCAGUAUGAGCAUCUGGGCCUAUCUUAGGCAGGCCCGCUCUGUUGCUCUAUGUGGAGUGUAUUAAAACUUACUUUGCUUUCUUGACUUAGUUUCUUGUCUCACUAUAUCUGCGUUCCCUGUGACACCGAGCCAAGUCCUUUUAUUCCUAACAGUUGUACAAGCGCCACCUCCCACACCUCCCAGAGCCAGCCUGGGACCUAUAAAAGACAUCCCUGCUGCAGCAUCUCCAUCUGCUCUGACUCCCCAAGGACAAUUCUGUGCUCCAUCUGUGAGCAGGGUGAGUGGGAAGCGGAGCCUGAGGGGGCACUGAACAGGAUAAGGGAGGAAUAGGCAGCUGGGAGAGGAAGAGCAGAAAAUGCCUGCUUCUUCAGGCCGCCCUGGACUCAGUGAGGCAGGAGGCGUUCCUAAUUCUGUAACUCCCUUCUAACUUCUUCAAUUUCAUGGAACCUGAUGCUCACCGCCACAAGCUUUACAUCUCCCUGUAUGGCCCCAGAAGAUGGCUGGUUAACCAGAGACGUGUAAGAUUCCUCAAGGG